rnacentral:rRNA from 1 species
GUGGGAUCAAACAGGAUUAGAUACCCUGUAGUCCACGCAGUAAACGAUGAUGCUAACCGCUGGCCCGUUCGGUUCAGUGGCCCAAGCGAAAGCGAUAAGCCAUCCACCUGGGGAGUACGACCGCAAGGUUGAAACUCAAAGGAAUUGACGGGGGCCCGCACAAGCGGAGGAACAUGUGGUUUAAUUCGAUGAUACGCGAGGAACCUUACCCGGGCUCGAACGGCUGGCGAAGAGAUCCAGAGAUGGUGACGUCCUUCGGGACGCCAGUCGAGGUGCUGCAUGGUUGUCGUCAGCUCGUGCCGUGAGGUGUCGGCUCAAGUGCCAUAACGAGCGCAACCCUUGCCGUCAGUUACCAUCAAGUAGUGUUGGGGACUCUGGCGGGACUGCCACCGCAAGGUGUGAGGAAGGGGGGGAUGACGUCAAAUCAGCACGGCCCUUACGUCCGGGGCGACACACGUGUUACAAUGGCGGCCACAGAGGGGCACUACCUGGCGACAGGAUGGGAAUCUCGAAAAGCCGUCUCAGUCCGGAUCGGAGUCUGCAACCCGACUCCGUGAAGCUGGAUUCGCUAGUAAUCGCGCAUCAGCCAUGGCGCGGUGAAUACGUUCCCGGGCCUUGUACACACCGCCCGUCAAGCCAUGAAAGUCUGGGGCGCCUGAAGUCCGUGACCGAGAGGAGCGGCCUAGGGCGAAACAGGUAAUUGGGGCU